rnacentral:rRNA from 1 species
GUAGUCUCGCACAGAUGCAUAUCAAUAAGCGGAGGAAAAGAAACUAACAAGGAUUCCCUUAGUAACGGCGAGUGAAGCGGGAAGAGCUCAAAUUUGAAAUCUUCAAGGUUUUACCUUGACGAAUUGUAGUUUAAAGAAGUGUUUUCUGUUGAAGUUUUGGUAAAAGUUCUUUGGAAUAGGACAUCAUAGAGGGUGAGAAUCCCGUAUUUGACCAUUAUUUUCAGCUGUGUGAUACACUUUCAAAGAGUCGGAUUGUUUGGGAAUGCAGUCCAAAAUGGGUGGUAAAUUUCAUCUAAAGCUAAAUAUUGGCGAGAGACCGAUAGCGAACAAGUACCGUGAGGGAAAGAUGAAAAGAACUUUGAAAAGAGAGUUAAACAGUACGUGAAAUUGUCAAAAGGGAAGCGUUUGACACCAGUGUUGUUUUCUCGAAAAUCAAUUAAAAAGAGUUAGAUUUUGUUGUGUAUUGACCUUAACAGCUUGCAUUUCAAUUUUCUUGCUUUUUUUAAUGUACUUUUCGUUUAACAAGUCAACAUCAGUUUCUUUUGUUGUAAAAAGGUCAUUGGAAGGUGGCUUUCUUUUCGGAGAAAGUGUUUAUAGCCUUUGACUCCUGCAAUCGGAGAGACUGAGGUCUGCAGCGUAGAUCCUUCGGGGUUAGAUACAUUUGUGCUAAGUUAUAGCUUUUUAUAGACAACUUGUUGACUAUGAUUAGUCUUGUAGCUUACUCGCUUAUGCUAUUUUACCUACGCUUAGGAUGUUGAAGAUGUAGCACAUCAU